rnacentral:rRNA from 1 species
UGAACGCUGGCGGCGUGCUUAACACAUGCAAGUCGAACGAGAAAGUUCUUUUCGGAGAACGAGUAGAGUGGCGCACGGGUGAGUAACACGUGGAUAAUCUACCUUCAAGCCCGGGAUAACUAUUCGAAAGGAUAGCUAAUACCUGAUAAAGUAUAUGACUUUUAAGGUUAUAUAUGAAAGACAGCCUCUGAUUUAAGCUGUUGCUUGGAGAUGAGUCCGCGCACCAUUAGCUAGUUGGUGGGGUAAAGGCCUACCAAGGCAACGAUGGUUAGCUGGUCUGAGAGGAUGAUCAGCCACACUGGAACUGGAACACGGUCCAGACUCCUACGGGAGGCAGCAGUGAGGGAUUUUGCGCAAUGGGGGAAACCCUGACGCAGCAACGCCGCGUGAGUGAAGAAGGUCUUUGGGUCGUAAAGCUCUGUCAACAGGGAAGAAGUUACUGUUGUUUAAUAGAUGACAGUAUUGACGGUACCUGUGAAGGAAGCACCGGCUAACUCC